rnacentral:rRNA from 1 species
AUGUUAAGAUAGCCAUGCAUGUCUCAGUAUAAGCUUCUAUACGGCGAAACUGCGAAUGGCUCAUUAAAACAGUUAUAGUUUAUUUGGUGGUCAGCAAUUACAUGGAUAACCGUGGUAAUUCUAGAGCUAAUACAUGCGCCCAAACCCGACUUCGUGGAAGGGUUGUGUUUAUUAGAUACAGAACCAACCCAGGCUCCGCCUGGCCUUGAGGUGAUUCAUAAUAACCGAACGAAUCGCAUGGCUAUGCCGGCGAUAGACCAUUCAAGUUUCUGACCUAUCAGCUAUCGUCGGUAGGGUAUUGGCCUACCGUGGCAAUGACGGGUAACGGAGAAUUAGGGUUCGAUUCCGGAGAGGGAGCCUGAGAAACGGCUACCACAUCUAAGGAAGACAGCAGGCGCGCAAAUUACCCAAUCCUGACGCAGGGAGGUAGUGACAAGAAAUAACAAUGCAGGGCAUACAUGUCUUGUAAUUGGAAUGAGUAAACUUUAAAUCACUUUACG